CUUCUGCUUCAGUCUCCCAGGUUGCUGGGAUUACAGGAAAAAAAUAGAUUCUAUGCAAGGAUGAUAUUCAAAAUAUUUCACAGGAUGCACAGCAUAAUUACCCAUUAAAAAACGGAUGUAUUGACCACCUGAUGCAGGUGAACUUCCC